UCAUGGUCAUGGUCAUGAUCGUGGUCAUGAUCAUGGUCAUGGUCAUGGUCAUGGUCAUGGUCAUGGUCAUGGUCAUGGUCAUGGUCAUGGCAAUGG